rnacentral:sRNA from 1 species
AAACUUUUAGGUUAAAUAUCCGAAAAGUUUUGGGCCGAGACCCGUACAUCGCACCCGGAAAGGGAACACAUAAUUUACCUCGUCUUUCGCAUCACCAGAAAUCAUUAAUUCAUCAAAAGGAGCUUUAACAAGAACACGAUUCAACUU